rnacentral:rRNA from 1 species
AACGCGUGGGUAACCUGCCUCACACAGGGGGAUAACAGUUAGAAAUGACUGCUAAUACCGCAUAACCCGAUAGGAUCGCAUGAUCCAGACGGAAAAGAUUUAUCGGUGUGAGAUGGACCCGCGUCUGAUUAGCUAGUUGGUGAGGUAACGGCCCACCAAGGCGACGAUCAGUAGCCGGCCUGAGAGGGUGAACGGCCACAUUGGGACUGAGACACGGCCCAAACUCCUACGGGAGGCAGCAGUGGGGAAUAUUGCACAAUGGGGGAAACCCUGAUGCAGCGACGCCGCGUGAGUGAAGAAGUAUUUCGGUAUGUAAAGCUCUAUCAGCAGGGAAGAAAAUGACGGUACCUGACUAA